rnacentral:rRNA from 1 species
UACGUAGGGUGCAAGCGUUGUCCGGAUUUACUGGGCGUAAAGAGCGCGCAGGCGGUCGUUCAAGUCGCGUGUGAAAGCCCCCGGCUCAACUGGGGAGGGUCACGCGAUACUGAUCGACUCGAAGGCAGGAGAGGGAAGUGGAAUUCCCGGUGUAGUGGUGAAAUGCGUAGAUAUUCGGAGGAACACCAGAAGCGAAGGCGGCCAACUGGCCCGAUACUGACGCUGAGGCGCGAAAGCGUGGGGAGCAAACAGG